rnacentral:rRNA from 1 species
UAGGGAAUCUUCGGCAAUGGGGGGAACCCUGACCGAGCAACGCCGCGUGAGUGAAGAAGGUUUUCGGAUCGUAAAGCUCUGUUGUUAAGGAAGAACGAGUGUGAGAAUGGAAAGUUCAUGCUGUGACGGUACUUAACCAGAAAGGGACGGCUAACUACGUGCCAGCAGCCGCGGUAAUACGUAGGUCCAGAGCGUUGUCCGGAUUUAUUGGGCGUAAAGCGAGCGCAGGCGGUUUGAAAAGUCUGAAGUGAAAGGCAGUGGCUCAACCAUUGUAGGCUUUGGAAACUGUUUAACUUGAGUGCAGAAGGGUAAGGUGGAAUUCCAUGUGUAGCGGUGAAAUGCGUAGAUAUAUGGAGGAACACCGGUGGCGAAAGCGGCUCUCUGGUCUGUAACUGACGCUGAGGCUCGAAAGCGUGGGGAGCGAACAGG